UAGCUGGGUUGUUAAGUCUCUUGGGAAAUCUGGCGGCUUAACCGUCAGGCGUCUAAAGGAUACUGGCAAUCUUGGAACCGGGAGAGGUGAGGGGUACUUCGGGAGUAGGAGUGAAAUCCUGUAAUCCUCGAGGGACCACCUGUGGCGAAGGCGCCUCACCAGAACGGCUUCGACAGUGAGGGACGAAAGCUGGGGGAGCAAACCGGAUUAGAUACCCGGGUAGUCCCAGCCGUAAACUAUGCGCGUUAGGUGUAUCGGUGACCACGAGUUACCGAGGUGCCGAAGGGAAACCGUGAAACGUGCCGCCUGGGAAGUACGGUCGCAAGGCUGAAACUUAAAGGAAUUGGCGGGGGAGCACCACAACAGGUGGAGCCUGCGGUUUAAUUGGACUCAACGCCGGGAAGCUCACUGGAUAGGACAGCAGAAUGAUUGCCGGGCUGAAGACCCUGCAUGACUAGCUGAGAGGAGGUGCAUGGCCGUCGUCAGUUCGUACUGUGAAGCAUCCUGUUAAGUCAGGCAACGAGCAAGACCCACGCCAACAGUUGCCAGCAUGGUCUCCGGACUGAUGGGGACACUGUUGGGACCGCCUCUGCUAAAGAGGAGGAAGGAAUGGGCAACGGUAGGUCAGCAUGCCCCGAAUUAUCCGGGCUACACGCGGGCUACAAUGGGCAGGACAAUGGGCAUCGACACCGUGAGGUGGAGGCAAUCUCCUAAACCUGUCCUUAGUUCGGAUUGUGGGCUGAAACUCGCCCACAUGAAGCUGGAAUCUGUAGUAAUCGCGUUUCAAAAUAACGCGGUGAAUUUGUCCCUGCUCCUUGCACUCACCGCCCGU
rnacentral:rRNA from 1 species